GUGGGGAAUAUUGGACACUGGGCGAAAGCCUGAUCCAGCCAUGCCGCGUGUGUGAAGAAGGUCUUCGGAUUGUAAAGCACUUUAAGUUGGGAGGAAGGGCAGUAAGUUAAUACCUUGCUGUUUUGACGUUACCGACAGAAUAAGCACCGGCUAACUUCGUGCCAGCAGCCGCGGUAAUACGAAGGGUGCAAGCGUUAAUCGGAAUUACUGGGCGUAAAGCGCGCGUAGGUGGUUUUGUAAGUUGGAGGUGAAAUCCCCGGGCUCAACCUGGGAACUGCCUCCAAAACUGCAUGACUAGAGUACGGUAGAGGGUAGUGGAAUUUCCUGUGUAGCGGUGAAAUGCGUAGAUAUAGGAAGGAACACCAGUGGCGAAGGCGACUACCUGGACUGAUACUGACACUGAGGUGCGAAAGCGUGGGGAGCAAACAGGAUUAGAAACCCGGGUAGUCC
rnacentral:rRNA from 1 species